rnacentral:rRNA from 1 species
GCUUAGCCCUAAACAAAGAUAUUUUAAUACACUAAUAUCCGCCAGAGAACUACAAGCGAAAAGCUAGAAACUCCAAGGACUUGGCGGUGCUUCAAACCAACCUAGAGGAGCCUGUCCUAUAAUCGAUACCCCACGUUCUACCUUACCCCCCUUAGCCUUCAGCCUAUAUACCGCCGUCGUCAGCCUACCUUAUGAAAGAAACAAAGUAAGCAAAAUAGUUAAUAACUAAAACGUCAGGUCAAGGUGUAGCACAUGGGCGGGCAGAGAUGGGCUACAUUUUUAAAACGAACACACGGAUAACAUGUUGAAACACAUAUUUGAAGGUGGAUUUAGUAGUAAAAUAAACAAGAAAACUCUAUUGAAAGCUGCUCUGAAGCGCGC